rnacentral:rRNA from 1 species
GAUGAACGCUGGCGGCGUGCUUAACACAUGCAAGUCGAACGGAAAGGUCUUGUUUUUGUGGGGUGCCCGAGUGGCGAACGGGUGAGCAAGACGUGAGUUACCUGUCCUUGCCUUUGGGACAACUUCAGGCAACUGGGGCUAACAGGGGAUAGGAGCCCCUCUCGUAUGGUGGGGGAUGGAAAGAUUUGGUGGUUGGGGACAGACCCGCGGGUUAUCAGCUUGUUGGUGGGGUAGUGGCCUACCAAGGUGAUGACGGGUAGCCGGCCUGAGAGGGUGACCACGCACAUUGGGGCUGAGAGACGGCCCAGACUCCUACGGGAGGCAGCGGUGGGGAAUAUUGCGGAAUGGGCGGGAGCCUGAUGCAGCAACGCCGCGUGCGGAAUAACGGCCUUCGGGUUGUGAACCGCUUUCGCCGGAGACGAGACGAGAAUGACGGUAAUUGGUAAAGAAGCAACGGCUAACUACGUG